UGAUAGAUUCAGUAAGGCCAUGAUAUCUUUUGGAUACUAUCAAAGCAAUGCAAAUUAUACUCUAGUUAUGAAACAAUGUAGAGAUAAGAUCAUCUUGCUUCUUGUUUAUGUUGAUGACAUAAUUAUGACAGGAGAUGAUAAGGAGAAAAUUACUCAUCUGAGGAAACUCUUAGCUCAGGAGUUUGAGAUUAAAGAUUUGGGUAAAUUAAGAUACUUCCUUGGGAUAGAGGUUGCCAGAUCAAACAAAAGAAUCUUCGUUUCUCAAAGAAAGUAUAUUUUAGACCUCUUAGAAGAAACAUGAAUGUUGAGCUGUAAACUUGGAAAAUCACCUAUUGAAAUUAAUCACAGAUUACAAGCAAGAGUUGAGGAAUCAGUUGACUUAGGAAGAUAUCAGAGGUUGAUUGGGAGAUUGAUUUAUCUCUUACAUACUAGACCUGACAUAGCUUAUGCAGUGGGUCUAGUGAGUCAG
rnacentral:misc_RNA from 1 species